rnacentral:lncRNA from 1 species
GGUUUUGUGUCCCUUAGACGCAGAGCCUGCGAUGGGGAUCAUUGUGCAGUGAUUUCGUGAGAGUGCUUGCAGGUAAAACCUAGGAGUGAGUGAGGGGUCCAGGAUGGGGCUGAGGAAGAAACGAGGUGAAAAUGAGGGUUCAGAUGAGAUCUAGUUUCAGCCCAAGCCCAGGGGGAACUCUGGAGUGUGAAGAGCCCCAUAACAUUGUCCCACCUUGAACGAAGGGCCUGGCCUUUUGCACAGUGCCAGUCUUUGGAGGAGCAUCAUCUCUAGGGGGAGAGUGUAAUCUUUCCUGCAUUUCCAGGUGAGGCAGCUCCUGUCAACCCUGGAGAAGAGUUCAGUUCAGAGCACCUGGAGGAUGGACCCACUGGCCUGGUAAUGGAGCGUGCCCCUUUAUCUGAAAAUUGCUUCUUCCAGCGGGAGCUGCUAGAUUGUUUCUCCAAUAUAUCCCAUCUCCUUCUCUCCACUCUGCCUUCUACCACCACUUGGCCGUAGAUGAAAACCAGAAACAAAAAGGAGACCUUGGGAAUUUUGAAGAGAAAUUGGGAGGAAUCUUAAAGCUAGCAGGAGUGGCCAGUCUUCUGCCAAGUUCAUUCAGAAGAGUUUUUAAGUGGAAAAAAAAAAAGUAUUUGCCCAUUUGAGAACUUUUUUUGAGAAGUCUUUUAAAUUGAUGUCUUUUUACUAAAGACUUCCUGUUUAAACCAGAUACUCUUAUUUCUACCUACACUUUAGAAAUGAGUGAUAAAUAUGCAAAUUCAAAAGUAAUAAAUGAAAAUCGCUGAGGUUUUUUCCACCUAAAGCCUUAAAAAUAUUCAAGAGAUGAAGGCAUUGAACACAGCCUGAGAUGACAGAGAAGCACAAAAAUUCAGGAAGACGUGAUGUGGCCAAGUGCUUAUGUUCUAGUUCAGAUCCCUGUUCUACCACUGAACGUCUGUGACUUUGGAUAAGAUCUUCCCAAGCCUCAGUUUCUUCAACGAUCUAAUGGGAGUGGUAUUUCUUUCCUCCCUGGGCAGCGUGGUGGUGGAGAGGGCAGGGAGGUCUGUCUUUUAGGUUCUCAAGUCCGACCGCCUGGCUUUCAACGUUGACUUCGCCUCACACUAGCUGUGUGACCUUAGGCAAUUAGCCCCUCUGGCCUCAGUUUCCUUUCC